UAACAGUACUCCGAGCUUUCAGACCUAAAAAGCAGUGCUUCACGGUCUUUCAGCCGUGCGGCGGCUUCCCCUGCCGCACCGGGGUGUGUGCGGAAACAAACACGCCUUCCUCAUUGAAAAGGAGUUUCAUAAUGAAUA
rnacentral:ncRNA from 1 species